rnacentral:misc_RNA from 1 species
GAUGAAGAACGCAGCGAAAUGCGAUAAGUAAUGUGAAUUGCAGAAUUCAGUGAAUCAUCGAAUCUUUGAACGCACAUUGCGCCCGCCAGUAUUCUGGCGGGCAUGCCUGUUCGAGCGUCAUUUCAACCAUCAAGCCCCCGGGCUUGUGUUGGGGACCUGCGGCUGCCCGCAGGCCCUGAAAACCAGUGGCGGGCUCGCUGUCACACCGAGCGUAGUAGCAUAUCAUCUCGCUCUGGGCGUGCUGCGGGUUCCGGCCGUUAAAGCCUGUUUUUUUUACCCAAGGUUGACCUCGGAUCAGGUAGGAAGACCCGCUGAACUUAAGCAUAUCAAUAAGCGGAGGA